ACACACACACAUCGAGUGAUCUAAUUUGUUGAACGGCCUAGUUUUCUUUUUCUUGUUUUUUCUUUUUUUUAACGUCCGUUUUAAUUAUUUUCUUAUCUACGUUAAUUGUUUCUCUAAGGAGGCAACGCACUAACCAAUGUUUAUCGAUCUACUUCGUUUAUUUUCUAAUACUAAAAUGUAUCUUGAAUGUUAUCUAGCUAUUGUUAACAAGGAAAGCUUUCGAAAUUUCCCUUUUGAUUUUUAUAUACGGAUGUCGAAUACGAACUUGAAUUACUUUUCCAUUUCUAUUUUUAUUUAUUUAUUUUUUUUAUCUCUCUUUUUAAUCUUCUUUUCGAAUCAUCCCGAUUAAUUCUUACGACUCGUCAUGAGAACCCCUGGAGACCGCAGUAUGUAACGCAUAGUGGAGAAUGUGCAGAAUUCAGACUCUGCAGUCUCGAACAAUCGGGAAGAGAAAGGAACAUGAAAGGAACUCUGGAAAAUCUCACUAGAAGUGCGGCGAACCACGUUGGAGAAAAUCAAAUGAAGGAUAAUCAUUGAAAUGAAGAAGGGAAGUAAUGCUUAUAACAAGGGUUCAGAUAUUUCAUGGGGUAGAUCUUUCAACGAUGGACACCCAGUAUAUGCAUUUAUGUGCAUACCGUACCGUACCAUACCAUUCUGUAAAACCUUUUGAGAGAAGCUUCGAAAAUGGAGAAAGAGAAAAAAAGAAAAAGAAAAGGAAAAAAAAAAAGAAAACGAAAUGGUAGAAAACCGAAAAAAGAAGAAUAAGAAUAAGAAGGAGAAGGAUUAACGUGACCUUUGUGGCCGGGUAAAGGUUAGGACCGUGUCAACCCAGUAACAGGUACGAGUGUAGGAGUGUAUGAGUGUCCUGGGGAUUAAAUUCGCGACAAAGGAUUCCAGAACUGGAGGUCCUUCGUUGUAACGGCCUUGGUACUCUCGUUUGUGAAAUCGGAGUUGAAAGGCGAAAAUAGAAAGAGACAGAAAGAGACAGAAAGAGAGAGAGAGAGAGAGAGAGAAAGAUCAGGAGAAUAGCUUGAAACCAACUCGAUCAUUACAGAUUAACGUUUCACCAAAACGAUUAACUUCAUUAAUUAUCUUAGAUACAUAGUUUUAUUUUUCUUUUUAACAAUAAAAUUUA